rnacentral:rRNA from 1 species
GCUCAGGAUGAACGCUGGCGGUCUGCUUAACACAUGCAAGUCGAACGCAACCUUCGGGUUGAGUGGCGGACGGGUGAGUAACGCGUGAGAAUCUGCCUUGGGGUCGGGGACAACCACUGGAAACGGUGGCUAAUACCGGAUAAGCCUUUGGGUAAAAAAUUUAUUGCCCCAAGAGGAGCUCGCGUCUGAUUAGCUAGUUGGUGAGGUAAAAGCUCACCAAGGCGGCGAUCAGUAGCUGGUCUGAGAGGACGAUCAGCCACACUGGGACUGAGACACGGCCCAGACUCCUACGGGAGGCAGCAGUGGGGAAUUUUCCGCAAUGGGCGAAAGCCUGACGGAGCAAGACCGCGUGAGGGAGGAAGGCUCUUGGGUUGUAAACCUCUUUUCUCAGGGAAGAAGCUCUGACGGUACCUGAGGAAUCAGCCUCGGCUAACUCCGUGCCAGCAGCCGCGGUAAUACGGAGGAGGCAAGCGUUAUCCGGAAUUAUUGGGCGUAAAGCGUCCGCAGGUGGCGAUUCAAGUCUGCUGUCAAAGCACGGGGCUUAACUCCGUUAAGGCAGUGGAAACUGAAUAGCUAGAGUGCCGUAGGGGUAGAGGGAAUUCCCGGUGUAGCGGUGAAAUGCGUAGAGAUCGGGAAGAACAUCGGUGGCGAAAGCGCUCUACUGGACGGCAACUGACACUCAGGGACGAAAGCUAGGGGAGCGAAUGGGAUUAGAUACCCCAGUAGUCCUAGCUGUAAACGAUGGAUACUAGGUGUAGCUUGUAUCGACCCGAGCUGUGCCGAAGCUAGCGCGUUAAGUAUCCCGCCUGGGGAGUACGCACGCAAGUGUGAAACUCAAAGGAAUUGACGGGGGCCCGCACAAGCGGUGGAGUAUGUGGUUUAAUUCGAUGCAACGCGAAGAACCUUACCAGGGCUUGACAUGUCCGG